rnacentral:misc_RNA from 1 species
AGGGAGCUUGUCCGGGGUUGUAUAAGACCAAUGUAUAUGCAACAUUAGAAUAUUUUUUGAUUGAAGGUUUUCAAGGAGAUGCUGGUGGGGAUGCUCGGAUGAUAUGCAGACCACUUGAUGUUGGAGACGAGGAUGGCUGUGUGCUUGAAUUGAACAAUGGGACAAUAAGUUUGGAAAUCCGUCGCUCUUUAUCCUUGCCUUUUAGUAUAGUUGAUUCUGGAAAGUGUCUAGUAAUUGAAAGGAAUGAGUGGGAUAAACAACUUGAGAAGCGACGUUUGAGAGCGCCCUCUACAAUUGACUUGCUGGGCACAAAACAUUGUCAAGAGUUGGAAGUUGAUGGGGCAUUACCGUUUGAUGCUACAAUUGAUGUUGGACAAGUACCUCCGCUUGAAAUUGUGGCAGUUAUUCGGCCUGCCAGUUAUGUUGCUUCUAGCACUUCAAACAGUUUGGAC